rnacentral:lncRNA from 1 species
AAAACCUAACCCCCAGGAUAUGCCAGAUACGCCACAAAUAUAGGGAGUCCACUGUUCACACAGACAAAGUCUUCCCUAUAUUUGCAUGGCGUCGCACAAGUACAAGAUAUACAAUGCAAAAUACAACCACCACAUAUGAAUAUCCACACAUCCAUACACCAUUCACAUUUAAUACAUCACAAUUAUCCACAAUUCCACAUCUAUCAGUUUGAAACGUUUCCUACUCAGAAACUCAUUUUGAAACACUAUGAAUCAUGAAACCACGAAAAACCUUUUUAAAACCGUUUUCCACAAGGAAAUCUUUUUCUUUUAAAACACGUUACCACGAGAGGUAGAAAACUAUUUCCAAUAUUUUACAUGAGGACCACAAGUAUUUUAUUUAACUUCACAAAACCGUAAACAUUCACUUGAUUAAAACCAUUGAACCAUAAAUGUCUAAGUUAGUAAUCAGAAAUAGUAAAGGUAGGGACUAAACUGAUUGACCGGGUCGAAAGCUCUACGACCACUAAUCACACGCCUCACGUACUGUCCCGACUCGGACCAGCAAUGUCACCUAAAAGGCGGGUUGGGGGUGAGAACAUGUACACAUAUCUCCCCUCCCAGUGGGUACCGCAAGUCGACGAGGCGAGGGGUACUCACUAGUAAAGGAAGAUAAACAACGAUAUGGGUAAGGGUAAUACAGUAGCAAUGAUAAAUAAAGGAACAAGAUGUACAAAUGAAUAACUACCGCUACUGUAUGUAUGCAUCAACUGGACGAUAAGUCCAAAAAUACCCUAUCUGAAACCUGUGCUCUGUUGGUCAGCACCGCAGACCUUAAGCUGUGCCCUGUUGGUCUGCACCGCAGACCUCAAGCCUGUGCCGCUGUCACUCUACCUGCAUAUAACCCAAGGUAGCCUAUAGGCUCACGGGUUGGCACCUCCAACCACUUUUUCGGAAAAGAACACCCUCUUGCGGUGGAUCAGACCGCUGGUGUUCGUGAAAUGCGUACAAGUAUCGGGCGAUCAAUGCUAAUAUGCUCAAUAGUCAACCAUCGACAACUAGCCGACAAUUCUACCCCUUAGGCUCUAUUUCGUUUGGGUAUAAGGAAGAACUAGUUAUACCCGGGAUAGGUACAAGUAUGGAUUUUUGUAGGAACAAGAGUAUGUUUUUGUUUGGAUGAAAAUGUGAGUAUAAGCAAGAACAAGAAAACUAGCGUUUGGAUAGUGUUUGGGAAUAAGAGGAAUAGUGGGUGUUGAACUUUUUAA